CAUGUAGACUCUAUAGUGUCAGAUUUAAGCUGACUGUAACCUUAUCAUGGACUACUUUUCAGAACCUCUACAUGACAACUCCGAUUUCCCCUUUGUCAUACACGGUAUGUCCCAUUGACUUUAUAACAUAUGGCAUGCCCUCUCCUCAAUCCACCACACUGAAUCAGUUUCCUACCUCUCGCCAUGCCUGUGCUUAUCCCUAGGUAUUUGCGUGGGACACUUUCUCUUCUAUGCAUGACUGACCACAUUCUGUCAUUUCCAAAACUGCUGCCUGAAAUUCGGGCUCUUCCUGCAUGUCCACCACCCUAAAGCAUUCUAUUGGUUCCUGCACGAACUCCCAUUGUCGACCUCACCUCGCCUGACCUCACCUCGCCUGAUGUGUACCUGAGAGAACUGCCCAACCAGUAGACAGUGUCCUUCAACCCGCCUCCCGCUAGCACAGCAGACUAGGGCGACGCCGUGUUCUAGCUAGCAUGAUAUUUAGCGACACUGUGUGUUAGCACACGGUGUCGCCUCCUGCCUGCCGAACACCUGCCCUGAACGUUGUUAACAGAACUGCGGGAAAACAGUUCCUGACAGGCAAAGACGAAGGACACUGUCUAUCGGUGUACGGCUAGAUAGCUACCGUUGUUGCCCAGUCCAGUGUUGCCAACUCCUCCGUAAGGAAAGUAGCUAUUGGCUGUCCUAAAAGUCGCUAGAAGUCGCGAAAUGACGUCAUCACAUAAUUUGCAUAAUUGGCCAUGUGCAUGUAAUUGUGAUGGACGCUGUAGGAGAGCGGAAUAACGCCGUGGGAGAGACAAAAAAAGUUUGGACGUAGCUCUGGAGUGGAUGGCAGACGUCAUGUUCAGAAGCUCAAUGCCAGGCUGAGAGAGAACACUCUUCUGUUAUACAAGUGUUGGAGGGAAAUAUGUCAGAAGACUUGGAUACACGUGACCUGUGUGUCAGUCUCUUCCCUAGUUUAAUUUCCAGGUGCGGCGAAAAAUGUUUGCCAAGAUGAUAUCGCUGUAUGCUAUGUCUCUGUUUAUUAUUUGUGCUAGGGAGGAGGUGGAAGUGGAUCAGUAAGAGCUGGUUGAAAAAGCUCAGGAGUGUAAUGACCAAAAUGUGAGUUCACACCAUUGCUAUUGUUCAUCAAGCGCAUGUUUUUGACACGUCACAGUCAAUUGAACGUAGGUACAGGCAGUCGACAAUAAAGGAUUAUAGCGCUA